rnacentral:rRNA from 1 species
AGCGGAUAAUGCCGGGGACUCAUGGGAGACUGCCAGGGACAACUGGAGGAAGGCGGGGAUGACGUCAAGUCAUCAUGCCCCUUAUGUCUUGGGCUACACACGUACUACAAUGGUCGGCAACAAAGGGCAGCGAAACCGCGAGGUGGAGCAAAUCCCAGAAACCCGGCCUCAGUUCGGAUUGCAGGCUGCAACUCGCCUGCAUGAAGUCGGAAUCGCUAGUAAUCGCAGGUCAGCAUACUGCGGUGAAUACGUUCCCGGGCCUUGUACACACCGCCCGUCACACCACGAAAGUUGGUAACACCCGAAGCCGGUGAGGUAACCAGUAAUGGAGCCAGCCGUCUAAGGUGGGGCCGAUGAUUGGGGU